AUCCUGGCUCAGGAUGAACGCUAGCGGGAGGCCUAACACAUGCAAGCCGAGCGGUAGAGAUUCUUCGAGAUCUGAGAGCGGCGUACGGGUGCGGAACACGUGUGCAACCUACCUUUAUCUGGAGGAUAGCCUUUCGAAAGGAAGAUUAAUACUCCAUAAUAUAUUGAUUGGCAUCGAUUGAUAUUGAAAGCUCCGGCGGAUAGAGAUGGGCACGCGCAAGAUUAGCUAGUUGGUGAGGUAACGGCUCACCAAGGCGAUGAUCUUUAGGGGCCUGAGAGGGUGAUCCCCCACACUGGUACUGAGACACGGACCAGACUCCUACGGGAGGCAGCAGUGAGGAAUAUUGGUCAAUGGGUGCAAGCCUGAACCAGCCAUCCCGCGUGAAGGACGACUGCCCUAUGGGUUGUAAACUUCUUUUGUAUAGGGAUAAACCUACCCUCGUGAGGUUAGCUGAAGGUACUAUACGAAUAAGCACCGGCUAACUCCGUG
rnacentral:rRNA from 1 species